rnacentral:lncRNA from 1 species
CUAGCAAAUUCAUAGAAAAUAUUUGCUGUCCUAGUACUCAGGAGGCUGAAGCUGGAGAGGUCAAUGGACUCAAUACAGAGACUCUAUCUCAAAAAACAAAUGGCAAAUAAGUAAAUAAACGGACGUGAUCUCUGCUGCUGGAGAUAAUCCUUACUGGUGUUCCAAAUAUAAAUCCAAGCUACAGGAAACUCCUCUGGCCCUUAGGCUCGGUCACACAUAUGCACUAUCACUGAG